CCUACGGGAGGCAGCAGUGAGGAAUAUUGGUCAAUGGGCGAGAGUCUGAACCAGCCAAGUAGCGUGAAGGAUGACUGCACAAUGGGUUGUAAACUUCUUUUAUAUGGGAAUAAAAUGUUCCACGUGUGGGAUGUUGUAUGUACCAUAUGAAUAAGGAUCGGCUAACUCCGUGCCAGCAGCCGCGGUAAUACGGAGGAUUCGAGCGUUAUCCGGAUUUAUUGGGUUUAAAGGGAGCGUAGGUGGAUUGUUAAGUCAGUUGUGAAAGUUUGCGGCUCAACCGUAAAAUUGCAGUUGAAACUGGCAGUCUGGAGUACAGUAGAGGUAGGCGGAAUUCGUGGUGUAGCGGUGAAAUGCUUAGAUAUCACGAAGAACUCCGAUUGCGAAGGCAGCUCACUGGACUGCAACUGACACUGAGGCUCGAAAGUGUGGGUAUCAAACAGGAUUAGAUACCCCGGUAGUC
rnacentral:rRNA from 1 species